GGAUGACACUUUUCGGAGCGUAAACUCCUUUUAUCAGGAAAGAAUAAUGACGGUACCUGAUGAAUAAGCACCGGCUAACUCCGUGCCAGCAGCCGCGGUAAUACGGGGGGUGCAAGCGUUACUCGGAAUCACUGGGCGUAAAGGACGCGUAGGCGGAUUAUCAAGUCUUUUGUGAAAUCUAGUGGCUUAACCACUAAACUGCUUAGGAAACUGAUAGUCUAGAGUAGGGGAGAGGUAGAUAGAAUUCUUGGUGUAGGGGUAAAAUCCGUAGAGAUCAAGAAGAAUACCCAUUGCGAAAGCGAUCUGCUGGAACCUAACUGACGCUGAGGCGUGAAAGCGUGGGUAGCAAACAGGAUUAGAUACCCUGGUAGUCCACGCCCUAAACGAUGUAUACUAGUUGUUGCUUUGCUAGUCAAGGCAGUAAUGCAGCUAACGCAUUAAGUAUACCGCCUGGGGAGUACGGUCGCAAGAUUAAAACUCAAAGGAAUAGACGGGGACCCGCACAAGCGGUGGAGCAUGUGGUUUAAUUCGAAGAUACGCGAAGAACCUUACCUGGACUUGACAUCCUAAAAACAUCUAAGAGAUUAGAAAGUGCUAGUUUACUAGAAUUUAGUGACAGGUGCUGCACGGCUGUCGUCAGCUCGUGUCGUGAGAUGUUGGGUUAAGUCCCGCAACGAGCGCAACCCACGUGUUUAGUUGCUAACAGCUCGGCUGAGCACUCUAAACAGACUGCCUUCGUAAGGAGGAGGAAGGUGUGGACGACGUCAAGUCAUCAUGGCCCUUAUGUCCAGGGCGACACACGUGCUACAAUG
rnacentral:rRNA from 1 species